rnacentral:lncRNA from 1 species
CUAUAUUGUACCAGAAGUUAGUCAAUAUUCAUGUGAAGUAGGCCAUAGUAAGUUAAGAUACCUAUGAUAAGUAGAGACACCACUUAGAAAAAUAGCUAAAAAAAAAAAAAGGUUAAAAAAACUAAAAUGGUACCCUCAUAAAUAUCUGUUUAAUGCAGAAGAAGGCAAUAAAAGAGCAAUUCAAUAACGAAAGAUACACAGUAACCAAAUAGCAAAAUGGAAAAUGCAAACCUAACAAAAUUGUAGUAAAUUUUAAUGCACCUAAAAACUCCAAUCAAAGCUUCUCUGAUAAAAAAAAAAGCAACAUCCAGCACUAUACUGUCUUCCAGAGACUCACUUCAAAUUAAAAGAUACAAAUAGGUUAAAAGGAAAAAAAACAGAAAGACACGCCAUGCAAACAGUAAUCAUAAGACAGCUGCAGUGGCUGUAGUAAUUAUAGACACAAUGGACUUUUAAAACAAGAAAUAUAGUAGAUACAAAGAGGGAUAUUUUAAAAUAAUAAAGGA